rnacentral:tRNA from 1 species
GUCUCUGGUGUUCAGCUGUAGAACAUGGGACUCUUAAUCUCAGGGUCGUAGAUUCGAGCUCCACCUUGGGCA